rnacentral:rRNA from 1 species
UCGACGCUUCUUUCCUCCCGAGUGCUUGCACUCAAUUGGAAAGCGGUGUGGCGGACGGGUGAGUAACACGUGGGUAACCUACCCAUCAGAGGGGGAUAACACUUGGAAACAGGUGCUAAUACCGCAUAACAGUUUAUGCCGCAUGGCAUAAGAGUGAAAGGCGCUUUCGGGUGUCGCUGAUGGAUGGACCCGCGGUGCAUUAGCUAGUUGGUGAGGUAACGGCUCACCAAGGCCACGAUGCAUAGCCGACCUGAGAGGGUGAUCGGCCACACUGGGACUGAGACACGGCCCAGACUCCUACGGGAGGCAGCAGUAGGGAAUCUUCGGCAAUGGACGAAAGUCUGACCGAGCAACGCCGCGUGAGUGAAGAAGGUUUUCGGAUCGUAAAACUCUGUUGUUAGAGAAGAACAAGGACGUUAGUAACUGAACGUCCCCUGACGGUAUCUAACCAGAAAGCCAUGGCUAACUACGUGCCAGCAGCCGCGGUAAUACGUAGGUGGCAAGCGUUGUCCGGAUUUAUUGGGCGUAAAGCGCACGCAGGCGGUCUGUCAAGUCGGAUGUGAAAUCCCCGGGCUCAACCUGGGAACUGCAUUCGAAACUGGCAGGCUAGAGUCUUGUAGAGGGGGGUAGAAUUCCAGGUGUAGCGGUGAAAUGCGUAGAGAUCUGGAGGAAUACCGGUGGCGAAGGCGGCCCCCUGGAC